rnacentral:lncRNA from 1 species
GGGCGCUGAUGGUCGGAUUAGGCAAAUGUACCAAAUCGUUUACCAAGUAAGAAAUUGAUAAAUAGAGUAUAGUAUCCACAAGGAUUGUCGUUUUGCCCAAAUAAUCCGCGUUACUUAUUUUUAAGUUGACGAUAUAAUAAAAAUGUUAGGAGUUAGAAGCUUGCAAUUAUUAUCUGUUUGCAAUUAUUAGCCUUUGUGUUGGCUUUCCACCAUUUCCCGAGGCAAUGAAGGCCAAGGUUCCUUAAGUCUAUCCAUCUAUGCAUCUUAGGACCCUCAUAGCAC